rnacentral:rRNA from 1 species
UACGUAGGGUGCGAGCGUUGUCCGGAAUUAUUGGGCGUAAAGAGCUCGUAGGCGGCUUGUCGCGUCGGAUGUGAAAGCCCGGGGCUUAACCCCGGGUCUGCAUUCGAUACGGGCAGGCUAGAGUGUGGUAGGGGAGAUCGGAAUUCCUGGUGUAGCGGUGAAAUGCGCAGAUAUCAGGAGGAACACCGGUGGCGAAGGCGGCGUUCUGGACUGCAACUGACACUGAGGAACGAAAGCCAGGGGAGCAAACGGG